UUUGCAUUUGGUUGUGAUGCAGUAUGGAGAAUGUGAGACCGUUUUUUCCAAACAAGAUUGCUCAUUCCUACAGGAAAUGACCUCAUUCUUGAUGGCUGCUGCUAACUUAUGGUGAGAUGCUGGGUCCCUGCCCAAUACCACAUGGACAUCCAAUCAAUUUACCCAGGGACAAGUCCACUCAAGAGCAUCAUUUAGAAGAGGGAAAAGGCACUGGGGUUAUUUGUUUUUGGAGUAUGUGCUUAAGGAAAUCUAGAGUAUUCCCACGAGCAUUCUGCUGAGAUGAACAAUCAGAUGACCUCGUGUGAGAUUUGGAGGAGAGAAGGAAAUGGAGAGCAUGCGUCUGCCGCUUCUGUGGUUUCUGUCGGUAAGCACAGUGAUGAGGUGCUGAGUUUUCCCCAGAAGGCCUCCCAGUGUCCUAUUACCAGCUUCACAAGCGUCGAGGGCAGGGCAUGGGCAUCUAUUGUUCACCAGUGGAGAUCUAUCUGGCACAGAACCGAUCCAACCAUUGCAGUGGUCACAGCGGUGUUGGCUUUCUGAUUCUCAACCUUCCUGACCGCCAGAGGAGACAGCCUCUUUGGUGGCCCUGUUCUGUGGUAUUGUGCUAACCGGUGG
rnacentral:lncRNA from 1 species